CUUGAACGCUGGCGGCAGGCCUAACACAUGCAAGUCGAACGAGUGGCGGACGGGUGAGUAAUGUCUGGGAAACUGCCUGAUGGAGGGGGAUAACUACUGGAAACGGUAGCUAAUACCGCAUACCAUCAGAUGUGCCCAGAUGGGAUUAUCUAGGAGGUGGGGUAACGGCUCACCUAGGCGACGAUCCCUAGCUGGUCUGAGAGGAUGACCAGCCACCCUGGAACUGAGAAACGGUCCAGACUCCUACGGGAGGCAGCAGUGGGGAAUAUUGCACAAUGGGCUCAAGCCUGAUGCAGCAAUGCCGCGUGUGUGAAGAAGGCCUUCGGGUUGUAAAGCACUUUCAGCGGGGAGGCGUUACCCGCAGAAGAAGCACCGGCUAACUCCGUGCCAGCAGCCGCGGUAAUUC
rnacentral:rRNA from 1 species